CGCUUAACACAUGCAAGUCGAGCGAGAAAGGGAGCAAUCCUGAGUAAAGCGGCGUACGGGUGAGUAACACGUGGAUGAUAUGCCUUUUAGUGGGGAAUACCCUUGGGAAACCGAGGACAAUACCGCAUAAGCCCGAGAGGGGAAAGCAGCAAUGCGCUGAAAGAGUAGUCCGCGGCUGAUUAGCUAGUUGGUAGGGUAAAGGCCUACCAAGGCUGUGAUCGGUAGCCGGCCUGAGAGGGCACACGGCCACACUGGCACUGAAACACGGGCCAGACUCCUACGGGAGGCAGCAGUGGGGAAUCUUNCACAAUGGACGAAAGUCUGAUGCAGCGACGCCGCGUGAGCGAUGAAGCCCUUCGGGGUGUAAAGCUC
rnacentral:rRNA from 1 species